GUCUCUGAGGAUGAUGAAACAAAUAACUUUCGUUCUUCUGAGUUGUCCAUGCGGAAGAUACAUGGAGACCUGAACUGAAGAGAC
rfam:Lupinus angustifolius cultivar Tanjil chromosome LG17, whole genome shotgun sequence.